GAUUAACGCUGGCGGCGUGCCUAACACAUGCAAGUCGUGCGGUAACAGGAAUAGUUUACUAUUUGCUGACGAGCGGCGGACGGCUGAGUAACGCGUAGGAAUGUACCCCAAAGUGAGGGAUAACUCCGGGAAACCGGAGCUAAUACCGCAUAUGAUCUUAGGAUUAAAGCCUCGGCGCUUUGGGAACAGCCUGCGUCCGAUUAGGUAGUUGGUGAGGUAAAGGCUCACCAAGCCGACGAUCGGUAGCUGGUCUGAGAGGAUGAUCAGCCAGACUGGGACUGAGACACGGCCCAGACUCCUACGGGAGGCAGCAGUGAGGAAUCUUCCACAAUGGGCGCAAGCCUGAUGGAGCAACGCCGCGUGCAGGAUGAAGGCCUUCGGGUUGUAAACUGCUUUUAAGAGUGAAGAAUAUGACGGUAACUCUUGAAUAAGGAUCGGCUAACUACGUGCCAGCCGCCGCAGUAAUAC
rnacentral:rRNA from 1 species